UACGUAGGGUGCGAGCGUUGUCCGGAAUUAUUGGGCGUAAAGAGCGUGUAGGCGGCCAGGUAGGUCCGUUGUGAAAACUCGAGGCUCAACCUCGAGACGUCGGCGGAAACCCUCUGGCUAGAGUCCGGAAGAGGAGAGUGGAAUUCCUGGUGUAGCGGUGAAAUGCGCAGAUAUCAGGAGGAACACCAAUGGCGAAGGCAGCACUCUGGGACGUGACUGACGCUGAGACGCGAAAGCGUGGGGAGCAAACAGG
rnacentral:rRNA from 1 species